rnacentral:lncRNA from 1 species
UGCUUAUUUUAUAAAUAAGUACAUUAAACUGACUCGCCUGAAAAAUCCAUAUAGAGAAUAACUUGUGUUUAUGAAUUAUUUAAGUGAUGGUUGUGUAAAUGAUUUUUUUGAUUUGAAAUCAAUAAAUCAUCUUAUAUAGGAACUUCUAUAUUUUGAUUCAUCUUGCAUGUUGUUUGCUUCAUGAGUAAUAAAUGGGGAUGAAUCAGUUAUAGUAGAAACUGUAUGAAGAUAUUUAUGUGAUUGAGAUAGUAUUCAUCAUCUUAGAUUUCUCAG